CAGUAAACUGGACUACCCGACUGAAGGACCCGAGGCCCCGCUGCACUUUUUAGUGUACAGGUUGAAGGGCUCCAUUAUUCCAAGGACUGGCCUCCCAUCAUGCUCUGGCUUACAGUGGUAAUGCUGUAAUAGUACACUGCUCUUUAAUUUACUCAUCAACAGACUUCUGCAACCAGCUAAGAGUAAGAUGAUAAAUCCAGUCUAGGUUUAAUUUAAAACGAGCACGCUCUGUAAUCCAUGGAAGAAAAGUUAUACAGAAAAGCAGCCAUGGGCCAAAAUGAAGAGGAUUACAGCCGGAUUACCUGUGUUCUGACUCGUGGAUGGAGAAUAUGACUCCUGACGUGGAGGACUUCUGCUGGAUGGAGGCCAAGAAGGCGAUGUGCCGUCUGCCUCCUCCGUGCACACUUGGCAAAAGCGCAAGCA